GCUGGGCAUGGUGGCGUAUGCCUGUAGUCCCAGAUGCUUAGGAAGCUCAGGUGGGAGGAUCGUUUGAGCCUGGGAAGUUAAGGCUGCAGUGAGUUGUGACUGUAUCACUGCACUCCAGCCUGGGCAACAGAGUGAGACCCCAUCUCAA
ensembl:misc_RNA Metazoa_SRP Metazoan signal recognition particle RNA